rnacentral:rRNA from 1 species
GACGAACGCUGGCGGCGUGCUUAACACAUGCAAGUCGAACGGAAAGGCCCUGCUUUUGUGGGGUGCUCGAGUGGCGAACGGGUGAGUAACACGUGAGUAACCUGCCCUUGACUUUGGGAUAACUUCAGGAAACUGGGGCUAAUACCGGAUAGGAGCUCCUGCUGCAUGGUGGGGGUUGGAAAGAUUCGGCGGUUGGGGAUGGACUCGCGGCUUAUCAGCUUGUUGGUGGGGUAGUGGCUUACCAAGGCUUUGACGGGUAGCCGGCCUGAGAGGGUGACCGGCCACAUUGGGACUGAGAUACGGCCCAGACUGCUACGGGAGGCAGCAGGGGGGAAUAUUGCGCAAUGGGCGGAAGCCUGAUGCAGCAACGCCGCGUGCGGGAUGACGGCCUUCGGGUUGUAAACCGCUUUCGCCUGUGACGAAGCGUGAGUGACGGUAAUGGGUAAAGAAGCACCGGCUAACUACGUG